GAAUAUUGGACAAUGGGCGCAAGCCUGAUCCAGCCAUACCGCGUGGGUAAAGAAGGCCUUCGGGUUGUAAAGCCCUUUUGUUGGGGAAGAAAAGCAGUCCAUUCAUACUCGGUUGUUCUGACGGUACCCAAAGAAUAAGCACCGGCUAACUUCGUGACAGCAGCCGCGGUACUACGAAGGGUGCAAGCGUUACUCGGAAUUACUGGGCGUAAAGCGUGCGUAGGUGGUUGUUUAAGUCUGUUGUGAAAGCCCUGGGCUCAACCUGGGAAUUGCAGUGGAUACUGGGCGACUAGAGUGUGGUAGAGGGUAGUGGAAUUCCCGGUGUAGCAGUGAAAUGCGUAGAGAUCGGGAGGAACAUCCAUGGCGAAGGCAGCUACCUGGACCAACACUGACACUAAGGCACGAAAGCGUGGGGAGCAAACA
rnacentral:rRNA from 1 species